GACGAACGCUGGCGGCGUGGAUUAGGCAUGCAAGUCGGACGGUAGGGCUUUAUCGUAAGAUAGAGUUUGAGAGUGGCGAACGGGUGAGUAACACGUAGGAAUCUACCCUUAAGACGGGGACAACCCAGGGAAACUUGGGCUAAUACCGGAUGAGAGUGCGAGAGAUUGCAUUUAAAAGGAUGGCGAAAGUUGUCGCUUAGGGAUGAGCCUGCGGUCUAUUAGUUAGUUGGUGAGGUAAGAGCUCACCAAGGCGAUGAUAGAUAGGCGGCCUUAACGGGUGGUCGCCCACACUGGGAUUGAGAUACGGCCCAGACUCCUACGGGAGGCAGCAGUGGGGAAUAUUGCGCAAUGGGGGAAACCCUGACGCAGCGACGCCGCGUGGAGGAAGAAGUCCUUCGGGAUGUAAACUUCUGAACUAGCCGAAUAAAAGGCCUGUGGACACACAGGAGAAGAAAGUAGGCUAGGAAAAGUCCCGGCUAACUACGUG
rnacentral:rRNA from 1 species